UUAGGAAUCUUCCGCAAUGGGCGAAAGCCUGACGGAGCGACACUGCUUGGAGGAUGAAGGUUUUCGGAUCGUAAACUCCUGAACGAGGGACGAAUAAUGACGGUACCUCGCUAAUAGCACCGGCUAACUCCGUGCCAGCAGCCGCGGUAAUACGGAGGGUGCGAGCGUUAUCCGGCAUCACUGGGCGUAAAGGGCGCGUAGGCGGUUUGUUAAGUCCGAUGUUAAAGACCGAGGCUCAACCUCGAUACGGCGUUGGAUACUGACAAGCUGGACGGUUGGAGAGGAAGGUAGAAUUACCAGUGUAGCGGUGGAAUGCGUAGAUACUGGUAGGAAUACCCAUUGCGAAGGCAGCCUUCUGGACAACACGUGACGCUGAGGCGCGAAAGUGUGGGGAGCAAA
rnacentral:rRNA from 1 species